rnacentral:rRNA from 1 species
AUGAUUUUGAUUCAGAAGAAAGAUAAAACUUGGAGGCCAGUCUUUGACUACAGACAUCUGAAUGCCAUUACUGUUAAAAGCAAGUUUCCCAUCCCAGUAAUAGAUGAAUUGUUGGAUGAACUAGCUGGUUCUUGUUGGUUUUAUAAGUUGGAUCUUCGGUCUGGUUAUCAUCAAAUCAGACUUGCACCAGGUGACGAGCAUAAAACUGCUUUCCAAACACAUAUAGGGCACUAUGAGUUCCCGGUGCUGUCAUUUGGUCUCACAGGAGGACCAUCCACUUUUCAGUUUGCUAUGAAUGACACCUUAUCACCCUGCGUGAGAAAAUAUGUCAUUGUCUUCUUCGAUGAUAUCUUAGUUUUCAGUGCCACUUAUGCUCUCCACCUGCAUCAUUUGGAAGAAGUGUUGAAAUUGCUAUUGCAGCAUCAAUGGCAGGUGAAACUCUCUAAGUGUUCUUUUGCUCAGACCCAAAUUGGCUAUCUGGGGCAUAUUAUUAGUGGGCAAGGUGUCUCCACUGACCCAGAUAAAAUUGCCACUAUCCAGAAUUGGCCAAUUCCUGUAUCUGCUAAGGAAGUGAGAGGUUUCCUCGGGUUAGCUGGGUAUUACAGGAAAUUCAUUCGUCACUAUGGCAUUGUCAGUAAACCACUUACUAAUUUGUUGAAGAAGGGGGUUCCUUUCCACUGGACACAAAAUGAACAACAAGCUUUCACUGUCCUGAAACAAGCUCUCAUGUCAGCUCUAGUUUUAGCUCUGCCCAAUUUUUCUUCUCCUUUUGUCAUUGAGACAGAUGCUUGUGAUGUGGGCAUUGGGGCGGUGCUUAUGCAAGAUGGUCACCCCCUUGCUUAUGUUAGUAAAGCCUUGGGACCCAGGAACCAAACAUUGUCUGUAUAUGAAAAAGAGUAUUUGGCAAUCCUUCUUGCUGUAGACCACUGGCGUCAAUAUUUGCAAGUUUCUGAGUUUGUUAUCAGAACGGAUCAGCGCAGUUUGGCUAGUCUGUCUGAACAAAGGUUGCAUACAAAAUGGCAGCAGAAAGCUCUUACAAAAUUGCUGGGCCUGCAGUACAACAUCUGCUAUAAAAAAGGGACUGAGAACAGUGCAGCUGACUCUCUUUCCAGGAAACCUCACGACCCUACCGAAGUAUUACCAGAACUUCAAACCAUAUCAUCUGCUCAACCUGCUUGGUUAGAGGAUAUUGCGCAGAGUUACAUGUCUGACAAGUUCGCCACUGAACUUUUGCAGAAGUUGUCGACAAGUUCCACUCCUGACAACAAGUUUUCCUUAACAACUGGUAUUAUUAGAGUGGACAACUGUAUUUGGGUGGGUGCCAGCCCUGAAUUGCAUCAACAAUUGUAUCUGCUUUUCAUGACAGUCCUUUAG